CUUCUUCUUGACCCAGCAAUUGGAUUUCAAAUAUUAUAUAACGUUGAUUAAAAUUUCCUUUUCUCUCGAGCAACCAUGUAUAUUCCAAGCGUGAUGAAGGGAUUAGAUCAUCGUAUCGUAAAUUAUGCUUACUUCCAACCCCAAAGGCAGACUUUCUAUGUGCUUGUCUCUUUGCUUCGAGGGCCAGCGAACUCUUCACUCUAUAUGACAGAAACAGCCUAGAAUCCAGGGGGAAAUUUGAAAGUCAAACAAGGAAGGAACUGCAAGAUGGACAGAGCAAGGUCUUGUAGAAAUGUAUGAGAUUCGUUUCUCGCAAAUUACGAGAUACGGAAACGUUUAAAGUCAUCUACAGGCGGAAAUCUGUUCAAGACAGUCGCGAACUUUAUAAUAUAAUGGAAUCGUUUUACAUAUUUGCGGACAAACAACACAACACAGUUUUCGUCUAUAAAUACGAAAUAAAAAAUUUAAAUAAAAAUUAUAUUAAUCCUUUCGAUACGAGUUGUUUUUUAACAUCGAUGAUAAAGAAAAUAAUCACAGACUUCGCUGGAUGCAUAAGCAUUCAUAGACAACAUCAAUGGAAUUUUUUCUGAUGAAUAUGUACUUCUCCUGUAGGAAACUAUGAGAUGACUCGUUUGUUUCGAAGCAACACGUGAUACCGCCAAAAGUGCUUUCCACCCCCUCACAUAACUGACAUCGGCCGUCCGUGGAUCCAACGGAAGGAUUUUGAACGUUGGAGAAUGCGUAACGCUGAUUGGCUAUUGAGCUCGGGGGUCGAUCGUAUAAAGGGACGCCGGGUCGCAACGAGCCUCACAGUACCGCUUCGACUGUGAACGCGAUAGGAAUUGGAUUGUCUAUUUUACAAAGCUCCUUUAUCUUUUGCAAUAAUUACAUUCGAAUGUCUUUUCAAGCGCUAACGAUAUAAUCGACGUUUGGUAAUAUCCAUCGACAAACGGGACAAUUCGGGUGUACAAUCUACGCCUAUAACUGCGCAGUAGGGCAUAUUGUCUCGCAAAGGCCAAAGCUGUAAAUCUUCGUUACUUAUACCGGUUUCAUGAUGAGACGAAUGAGCGAUCGUAGCGGAGAAGAAUCAGGACCAGCUCCUCAGCUAGAUGGCCGAAGAAAUUCGGUCGUUACGAUGGAAAGAGUGUCAUCGACGUUGUUUGGCAGUAAUCGUCAGUUGGACGUUAUGGAUAACAUCGCAGACAUAAAAGCGAGGAAGGUAAGGAUCUUUCGUUUAUUUUAGUCGCUCUAUCUCCGCUAGUUUGCAGACUAAGAAAAACCGAGUUUAAAGUUGACGAACUUCUAUACGAUCGUGCGAAGUUAAGAUUUGAAAGAACCAAAUAUUCGUUGCUCUCCAGGUAUACAAUUUUCAUCGUAUUAUUUAUUAUUUUAUUCUUUGUAACUUAUAAUUAUUUACACAUCAUAUCGUUCUUUAUAACAAUGUACGCAUACGUGGAUUCAUCAAUUACUUUUUUUUUCUUCUUUUUUAGAUGGAGUUAGAACAAUUAUUAAUUAGGCGAAAAUUAACAGUUAAAAUUACGGACGAAUCGAGUCGCUAUGGUUUUCAUUCCUUGUUCGUCAGGAGCCUCGCUAAGGAAGCACGUCUUCGUCGGUGAAGCUUAUAGCAUGGUCGCGAAGAAGCUUAUUUUUCAAUUGGAAUCAUAAAUUAUUAAGCAAUAACAUAGAAAUUUGCUUCAUCCCGCGCUCAAUCGCCAGGGACGUGUCGUAAACUCGGUAUCUCCGCAGGGUAAUUUGGAAUUAUAUUACAGCGGUACAAGUUGCCGAACUUCCUCACCCGCAGAGAUAUCGUGAUCUUCUCGGAAAACUAACAUCUCGUGUUAGUUCAAGUAGCGACCCAUCUUUGCCAGUAGAAGGCGCGCCAAGAGCACGUGAAAGGCUGGUCAUGACACUCGCGGCAUUCACACCUCGAACACAGAAAAAGAUACUUGUUAACGUUCAAACGGUUCAGAUAUUGAUCAACUUUCGCGCGACACAAACGUUGUUCAAACUUGGAACGCUACAGGCAUUUUUCAACUCUGUUACGAGCAAACUUAUACAUAUUCAUUGAAGACAUACGAAAGAAUACGCGCUGUAUUCGUUAUCAUGCGUUUUUUUUAUUAGAGUUCAGACUUUUAUGGAUCGUCAUUAUUGGAACAGCAAGCGUUCAGUUCUGUUCUUCCCUACGUGCUCAUAAUCUUGGCUGAUAACCGCCAUUCGCUAUAUACAUCGUUGGUAUCGACGUCAAAGGAUUAAUACAGACAAAUACGUCCGUACAAUCCGAUUUGAUUGAUUUUAGAUUUUGCAUCAAACAGAUUUCUAUAUAAACAGAUAAUUUCUGAUUCUAAA